rnacentral:rRNA from 1 species
UACGUAGGGUGCGAGCGUUAAUCGGAAUUAUUGGGCGUAAAGAGCUCGUAGGCGGUCUGUCGCGUCGGCUGUGAAAACCCGGAGCUCAACUCCGGGCCUGCAGUCGAUACGGGCAAACUGGAGUACUGCAGGGGAGACUGGAAUUCCUGGUGUAGCGGUGAAAUGCGCAGAUAUCAGGAGGAACACCGGUGGCGAAGGCGGGUCUCUGGGCAGUAACUGACGCUGGAGGAGCGAAAGCGUGGGGAGCGAACAGGA